rnacentral:rRNA from 1 species
GAUGAACGCUGGCGGCGUGCCUAAUACAUGCAAGUCGAGCGAAUGGAUUAAGAGCUUGCUCUUAUGAAGUUAGCGGCGGACGGGUGAGUAACACGUGGGUAACCUGCCCAUAAGACUGGGAUAACUCCGGGAAACCGGGGCUAAUACCGGAUAACAUUUUGAACCGCAUGGUUCGAAAUUGAAAGGCGGCUUCGGCUGUCACUUAUGGAUGGACCCGCGCCGCAUUAGCUAGUUGGUGAGGUAACGGCUCACCAAGGCAACGAUGCGUAGCCGACAUGAGAGGGUGGUCGGCCACACUGGGACUGAGACACGGCCCAGACUCCUACGGGAGGCAGCAGUAGGGAAUCUUCCGCAAUGGACGAAAGUCUGACGGAGCAACGCCGCGUGAGUGAUGAAGGCUUUCGGGUCGUAAAACUCUGUUGUUAGGGAAGAACAAGUGCUAGUUGAAUAAGCUGGCACCUUGACGGUACCUAACCAGAAAGCCACGGCUAACUACGUGCCAGCAGCCGCGGUAA